CUGAGUCACGUUGGGUCGACCAGUCAUUUAUUAAUAUACUAACCUUUGCACUCAAUUGCACUUUCAAAACACCUACCUCUAAACGGCUUUCAAGCCACUUCUAAAUUUACCCCAGCGGUAAUAAAUUAGAAGUAUAACCUCCGUCGCAUCUCGUACGUCACAUCUCUUUUGCCGUGUGUUUCGUGCCUCCAGUGCAGCCAGCGCGACAUUAUUUGUACUGUACGCGUUAUUUCAUUUGAGGUUAGAUUGGGAAUAUGCGUUCACUGUCAAGUUUUGUACCGCUGAAUUGGAAUUUCUGAGCAUAAUUGAUCAAAUCAUUUCUCAAGCUUUGGCAUUCAUUAAGUAAAGUUUAUUUUUCUAA